UACGUAGGGGGCAAGCGUUGUCCGGAAUCAUUGGGCGUAAAGCGCGUGUAGGCGGCUUGGUAAGUCUGCUCUGAAAGCCCGGGGCUCAACCCUGGGAGGCGGGUGGAUACUGCUGAGCUCGAGUCCGGAAGAGGCGAGUGGAAUUCCUGGUGUAGCGGUGAAAUGCGCAGAUAUCAGGAGGAACACCAAUGGCGAAGGCAGCUCGCUGGGACGGUACUGACGCUGAGGUGCGAAAGCUAGGGGAGCAAACGGG
rnacentral:rRNA from 1 species